UACUCCUAUUAUAAUGCAGCAGUAGUUCGUGCGUCGCCCUUCGCCUACGCCCCGUCCCCGUCCCCGUCCCGCUUCCUGCACUCUCGAUACAAAAAUCAAAACCACCGCCUGCCCUGCGCAUCCUCCGCCCGCUCCAGAAACCGCUCGCCUCCCACGCACGCUCCAGAAACCGCUCGUCUCCCGCUCGCCUCCCACGCGCGCUCCACUUCCUCCCCAAGAGCGCCUUCCUCGUCUCCCUCCCCCACGCGCCCACGACGGCCUGAGCUCCCACCGCCGGACCGCCGUGGGACCGGGCCGCAUCUGCCGCAGCCGUCGCCUUCCCCCCUCAGGCAGCAGGGCGCCCGCGCGCCCCCCGUGUCGCCACCGCCGCUGGCCCCUCCGGAACGCGCCCCUGUCGGUGUCCCCCUCCGGCCGCAGGGCGCGCAGGCGCCCCCGGACCCGCGCCGAUGCCGUCUCCUUCCAGCCGCAGUGCACGCAGGCACCGCCGGACCUCGCCGCCGACGCUGUCUCCCUCCGACUGUGGGACACGCAGCCGCCUCCCGGCCUCGCGGCCCCCGAAUCACGCCUCCCGGGCUUCGCGGCCACGGUCGCACCAUGGAGGACGACAUGAAGGAGGCGAGGCAGUGGCAGCAUAGAGCGUUCCAGUGGGGGAUGCUCAAGGUGUUCCUGCUGCUCGGCCUGGGGCUGACCGUGGCUGGCAUGCUCAUGGCGCGGCACGGGCACGCGGCGGCGGUUAAGCUGUUCCGGCCAUGGCUUGGAGGCGGAGCCUCCCCUGCUGCCGCUGCCGCCAACACUGUGGCGGCGGAGGGACUGGAUCACUCGAUGACGGACGAGGACCUGCUCUGGCGUGCGUCGUUCCGCCCGGGGGUGCGGCGGUACCCAUUCCGGCGUGUGCCCAAGCUGGCCUUCAUGUUCCUCACGCGCGGCCCGCUGCCGCUGGCGCCGCUCUGGGAGCGCUUCUUCCGGGGGAACGAGGGCCGCUACUCCAUCUACGUCCACGCGCUGCCGUCCUACCGGACCAACUUCACCUCCGAAUCCGUCUUCUAUCGACGCCAAAUCCCCAGUGCCGGAGCUUGGAUCCCUGGCUUGCAGUCCACCUGCCCGCCCCUGCCCCUGCAGCUCGUCAUCUUGAUCGCGCAGCUCUCAUCCACCCAGGCGAAAUCAGAUCGCCUGGAGCAUGACAAGCACCCGCUGGCCUUCCAGAAUAGGUCCCAACAAUUUCUAUUUUUCAAGUGAGUAUAAAUGGUUGAAUGAUUGGGUAACACUCACACGUAAGUACAGUUCCUGUGAACUUUAAGGUGCUCUUUUAUAGAAACCUACUCAAGUGGCGAAUUAUGGUUUUGGAGAGAUGUGACAAAUAUGUUGCAUGAUUUUUUUUCUUGUUUCAUUGAGAGUGUAGAUUACUUGAUUUUUAUGUCGGUGCAGUUUUUUUAGGGAAUCACCAUUAACACAGGGAGACUAUCUUAGAAUGUCUACCAUGUCAUCUAGGUCCAUUUUCUUAAGUAUGUAAUCUGAUGCAUGACCGGAGGAGGGGGGCGGGGGGACACAGUUCGGUGUGUCUGAUGAUGGAAUAGGAGGCGAAAUGGAUGUAAUUUCAGUUUGCUUCCUGUUAUUUGUUUUCCAGGUGUUUCUGAAUUGCCCAUCUGAUUUCUAAACCUUGCCGCUAUCCUUCUGUUCAAGGCAGGUUUCGCCGGUGAUGAUGCAUCAAGAGCUGUCUUCCCUUCCCUAGCAUUGUGGGAAGACCACGCCAUAUACUGGUGUCAUGGUAGGCAUGGGCCAAAAGGAUGCUUACGUUGGUGAUGAAGCUGAGGCAAACAUAGGCAUCUUGACACUGAAACGAUUGAACAUGGCAUCAUCAAGAAUUGGAAUGACAUGGAGAAAAUCUGACGUCACACCUACAGCGAACUCCGUGUUACCUGAAGAUCAUCCUGUGUGUCGCUGACAGAGGCCCCUCUCAGUCCCAAGGCCAACAGAGAGAAGAUGACGCAGAUGAUAUAUUUUUCAUAUAGAUCUACCGACAACAUUUCUAUUGAUUUUUUAUAUUGACACACAUCGCUUCUGGAAAUCAUAAAUUAGAAUGAUAAUUAAUAUUCUGUAUCUA